CCUAUCGCUAUCAAAAUUAAUUUGAAAUGUAAUACAAUUUUAAAAUAUAAUUCAAGGGAAAAUAACAAAAAAAAGUUUUUUCAAAAUAAAUUGCUUUUUUUUUCAAAAAUGAAAUGAAAAUGAAUUUUUUAUCGGCCUAGCGCUAUCACAGUAUCCCAUGUGGCAUUGCGCGCAUAGCUUGUGCUUCCACUGAUAUAAUUAUAAACAUUUUGACUGUAGAUUUCUAUUGUAAAACUGAUAUUUUUCCGAGUUUUCGCCUUAUACUCGACAAGUAUGCGAAGAAAUCAAGUCAAAUCUGGUAUUUCGAGAACAAGCACACAUCAUAGAAGAAUGAAGAACAUUUGGAUGUUGAAAGAAACUAAAUCGCAGGUAAAUAAUUUGACAUUUUCACCGUCGAAAAUCAGAGCCAAGCGAGCGUCAGAACACAACACACUACACUGUCUGUCUAUACUUCUAGAUAUUACAAAGUAAUUUUGAUUUUUCAGUAUAAAAUAGUCACUUACUACAGUACUAAAACAAUUAUUUACGUUUUUGAGUGAAUAGGUAGGUUUAAUAAGCAGCAUGCCAUAUAAGAUAUUAAACAAUUUGUAAUUGACGUUUUAUGCUUCGGCUGAUAAAUUUGUUCAGACCAACUGGCCAGGGUGCAUUGGGCUAUUCCAUUUAAUAUCCGUACCCAACUCCCUGUCGAGGAUCCCUGGAAUUCUUCAGGGGUAAAGUGUUUUGAGCUUGGAAUUCUUCAGGGGUAAAGUGUUUUGAGUUUGGAAUUCUACAGGGGUGAAGGAUUUUGAGCUUGGAAUUCUUCAGGGCUAAAAGGUUUUGAGCUUGGAAUUCUUCAGGGGUAUAACCAUGAAAAACAUGUAUCCUCGACAGGGGGUGUACGGAUAUUAAAUGGAAUAGCCCAUUCCAUGUAAAGUACUCCGUAGAUAAUCCAACAUAUACAAUAGUUCACGCCAAUAUGUUGGAGAUUUUAACCCCGGGACCAAAGUCGAUGUUAAAAUGGCAUUUAAUGGCUAUAAACCUGGCAUGUUUUAUUUACUGUUGGGCCAUUCCAUUUAAUGUCCACACACACCCUAUGGAUGAGUUUUUCUGAAGGGUGACUCAAAAAGUCGUUUCUAGCCUGUCGGCAUCCUUUGAUCUCUGCAAUUUUUCUGAGGGUUAAGCGGAAAAUUUAGAAAUUUCUGAGGGGUGUUUUGUGUCGGCACUUUGAUAUUUUUUUCUUAGGGGUUAAAAUUUUACUGACCUCAUCCAUAGGGGGGGGGGGGAGUGGAUUUUAAAUGGAAUGGCCCAUUAACAUCAUAUCCUUGAAGUUUAUAUACUGUGAAUAUAGAAUUUAUAGAUAUUGUAUGACAAUCAAUUCAGCCACAAACUUCUACUGUAGUUACACUUAUCACUUCUUUUUGAGUGAUCUCAUGUCAAUUCUUGGGUUUCACUAUGGCAUUAUACAGUGAAUCUGACGGGGGGCAAACUCAAGUGUAUUGAUGCUUAUGCUGUACUCGAAUGAGAAAAUGAUACAAAAUUCCAUGUAUUCACCAUCAAACACAAGGCUAACACAUAAAAAGAACAAUCGACUCACAUGAAAAGUAUAGAAUAAAAAUGCAGAUGACAUUGACAACAUGAGAUGAUAAAGAUCUUUAAUGUAAUAUAAACUGACACAACAACUACA
rnacentral:lncRNA from 1 species